rnacentral:rRNA from 1 species
GAUGAACGCUGGCGGCGUGCUUAACACAUGCAAGUCGAACGGUGAAAGAGAGCUUGCUCUCUGGAUCAGUGGCGAACGGGUGAGUAACACGUGAGCAAUCUGCCCCUGACUCUGGGAUAAGCGCUGGAAACGGCGUCUAAUACCGGAUACGAGCUGCGAAGGCAUCUUCAGCAGCUGGAAAGAACUUCGGUCAGGGAUGAGCUCGCGGCCUAUCAGCUUGUUGGUGAGGUGAUGGCUCACCAAGGCGUCGACGGGUAGCCGGCCUGAGAGGGUGACCGGCCACACUGGGACUGAGACACGGCCCAGACUCCUACGGGAGGCAGCAGUGGGGAAUAUUGCACAACGGGCGCAAGCCUGAGGCAGCAACGCCGCGUGCAGGAGGAAGUCCUUCGGGACGUAAACUGCUUUUAUAGGGGAGGAACGCAAGUGACUGUACCCUAUGAAUAAGGACUUGCUAAUCUCGUGCCAGCCGCCGCCGUAA